rnacentral:snRNA from 1 species
AGCCAUGUAGUGAGCACAAAGCGAACUAUUCUUUUGCCUUUUACUAAAGAAUACCUGCUUCAAGUGGCGUACACCUAUUUUUGGAGAAACCCUUUUAUUGAAGGGAU